UGCUAGUAUUGAGAAGGAAGAAGAGCACGAUAAUACUGGUUCUGGAAGUGUAUCAGCCAUGGUGAAUGAUUCUGCACGAGAUGGACUAGGUUCAGAGAACCAUGCAAUGAUGGAACUUCCAGUGGGACUACUUGAUGAGGAUGAAAGGGACAAUGAAAUGAAUAUUUCUAAAAGUGAGGAAUUUAUUGAGGAGCUGCCUGUGGGACUACUUGAUGAGAAGGAAGAAGAACCUGAAGAAGAGAAGGACGAUGAAGCUAAGCCUAAAGAGGUUCUGAUGGCACAAGAAAGGGAAUGUAAUGCAGAUGAGGAAACAAGUUCUUCCACAGAUGAUACUUCAAAAGAAACUCAAUCAGAGCCACAGCAGCAGCCAUUGGAAGCUCAAAAAGAGGAUAUUGAGUUGCCACCUUUGACAACAAUUUUCAAUGAUCAUGAAGCAGGAAAUGAAGAUGUGUGCUUGGAAGCAAAUGAUGCAAACAACAUCUCAGUCGAACCAACGGGGUUUGAGAGUAUAGAAGACACACAGAAGGAAGAGGAACCAGAAGAAAAGAUUGCACUGAAGGAGACACAAAAGGAUGGGGAAGAGAAAGUUGCUGAAACUUUGGCUGAAGAGAAAGCAGUAUCAGCUGCAUUACAAGCUGACCAUGAUGGAGGGUUGAAUGGUGAGUCGAAGUUAGUGGAGGAAAAUGAGAAGCUAAGGGAGAUGAUGAAGAAGUUGCUCGAAGCUGGUAAUGAACAGUUGAGUGUGAUAUCAGAUUUAACUGGCAGAGUGAAGGAGUUGGAGAAGAGAUUAGCCAGGAGCAGAAACAAGAGAAUGAAGACAAAACGGUAUAGAUCAGCAGCUUCCAAAAUUUCUGGCAUGAGUCCAUGAAUAUUAUGUAAUGCCUCCAUUGAAUUUCCAGGAGUAUAUGCAUACACUGUAGUUGAGGGGUGUGGCAUGUUUCAUUGUAAAAACUGUAACAACUGUGCUUGUGUGCUGUGAAAAUACGAAAUUUUUGUUGUUUCUCUUUUCGGCGAAUAAAUUUUGCUUCUAAAACUUACUGGUUGGAUAUUGUAGUAUAUUUUAGCAGUAUCCAAGAUUUUAUGUUUAUUUUCAGGUUGGUGUUGAUGUUGUUCUGGUUUUCUAGGCGGUUGCUUCUAUAACUCUUAGAGUUACUCUUAUUUAAUGGGAAAUGAUGGGAA
rnacentral:lncRNA from 1 species